rnacentral:rRNA from 1 species
UACCCAGAUCUACGGAAUAGCCUCGGGAAACUGAGAGUAAUACCGUAUACGCCCUUCGGGGGAAAGAUUUAUCGGAUUUGGAUUGGCCCGCGUUAGAUUAGAUAGUUGGUGAGGUAACGGCUCACCAAGUCUACGAUCUAUAGCUGGUUUUAGAGGAUGAUCAGCAACACUGGGACUGAGACACGGCCCAGACUCCUACGGGAGGCAGCAGUGGGGAAUCUUAGACAAUGGGCGCAAGCCUGAUCUAGCCAUGCCGCGUGUGUGAUGAAGGCCUUAGGGUCGUAAAGCACUUUCGCCAGAGAUGAUAAUGACAGUAUCUGGUAAAGAAACCCCGGCUAACUCCGUGCCAGCAGCCGCGGUAAUACGGAGGGGGGUUAGCGUUGUUCGGAAUUACUGGGCGUAAGCGUACGUAGGGCGGGAUCAG